UACGUAGGGUGCAAGCGUUAUCCGGAAUUACUGGGCGUAAAGGGCGCGUAGGCGGCCUGCUAUGUCGAACGUGAAAUCCCCGGGCUCAACCCGGGAACUGCGUCCGAAACUGGCAGGCUUGAAUCCGGGAGAGGGAUGUGGAAUUCCAGGUGUAGCGGUGAAAUGCGUAGAUAUCUGGAGGAACACCGGUGGCGAAGGCGGCAUCCUGGACCGGUAUUGACGCUGAGGCGCGAAAGCCAGGGAGCAAACGGG
rnacentral:rRNA from 1 species